UCUGGUAUGAGCAUUUGAUGA
rnacentral:miRNA from 1 species